rnacentral:lncRNA from 1 species
CUGCUGGUCUUCCUGCAGAACCAAAUGCCAUACUGCUUGCACUUCCACUGGCUCCAUAAGCCGUUGAGGUUUGCACUGCGGCGUUCACAGUGCCGUGCUGAUACAUCCCGUUGAGAAGCAACAUAUCAAAGCCUCCUCCGAGUUCAGUCUUUUGUCCUGAUAAGUUUGUAGCUGACUGCACCAAAGCCGUCUCCCAAUCUGCUCCAUCAUCCUUAAACGCUUCCCAUCCAGGACCGGACUCUGAACCCGAACCGCUCGCGUAAGGGCCAUCGAAUAAAGCCAAUGCUAAGUUAUCUCCAGCUGCUCCAGCUUCACCGCUGCUUAUAUCCACAAGAUCCAGCAAAUCACCAACCUCUUCUUUCUUGUUCUCCUCCUCUAUUAUCACUGGUUCCUCUGCUUCUUCCUCUGUUUCGGUACUACCGGCCCAUUGCUGCUUCCAUUGGCCGUUGCUGGUGCUGGAAGUGCCAGCACUGUUGCUGUAAUCAUAGUAAAUUAGUAGAUUGCAAAUGAAAACAGAGUAAACAGAGCAAAGUAAUGUUUCUUUUCAAACCUGCUGGUCUUCCUGCAGAACCAAAUGCCAUACUGCUUGCACUUCCACUGGCUCCAUAAGCCGUUGAGGUUUGCACUGCGGCGUUCACAGUGCCGUGCUGAUACAUCCCGUUGAGAAGCAACAUAUCAAAGCCUCCUCCGAGUUCAGUCUUUUGUCCUGAUAAGUUUGUAGCUGACUGCACCAAAGCCGUCUCCCAAUCUGCUCCAUCAUCCUUAAAC